UGGGGAAUUUUGGACAAUGGGCGCAAGCCUGAUCCAGCAAUGCCGCGUGAGUGAAGAGGGCCUUCGGGUUGUAAAGCUCUUUUGUCAGGGAAGAAACGGACUUUUCUAAUACAGAGGUCUAAUGACGGUACCUGAAGAAUAAGCACCGGCUAACUACGUG
rnacentral:rRNA from 1 species